UAAUACGUCAGAACAUGAUGACGCGUUUCGCCGACGUGCUCGGCUUCAUCAGAUCUGAUCUGAUGAAGCCGAGCACGUUGGCGAAAUGCGUCAUCAUGUUCUGACGUAUAU